AGGCCAAUGAAAAUUGAUAUCAUGUUUCUCGUCCCCGCCCGCAUGGGAUUUAUGUGCCGCACGAAAAUUUUUCAUUAUUCAUUACUUUUGAAAAAUAGGCUUAAAAAACACCAAAUUCAUCUCAAGAUCAAAGUCUUAUUGCUGCAUUCCGCAAGCGCAACUCAAAUUGUAUCUUUCUAAAGAUAUUACUCGCCAGAAUGCCCCUAUUUUUCAUGUCAGCCCUGGUAUGUAAAGAAAUAUACUGUAGUCUGUAGACUGUAGUGUAGGACGUAUUAAAUUAAAAUGAAUUAUACACCAAUUUUUAAUACUUCAGAUUUUUAUGGGGGUUUUUACUGGGUCAAGGAAAUUAUUGACAAGCA